rnacentral:lncRNA from 1 species
UCUGAAGCUUAAGUUCUUCGGUGACAUAAUUAUCCCACCAAUACCUAAGCAUUCCGGUAAAGCCAGCAGUGAUCAUAGCAGCUGCUUCUUUAUCGGAGGAAUUGCGCAGCUUAUAGCUGGUAAUGCAAACACCCAUUUCGUGAAGGACACGAUAGAUUUGAUGUUCGGCUAACCCAUCAAUAUUCCAUUCUACAAUGCCCCUACCAUCAUGAGAUGAUUG